rnacentral:rRNA from 1 species
AGAAUCAACGCUGGCGGCGUGCCUAACACAUGCAAGUCGCACGAGAAAGGGGCUUCGGCUCUGAGUAAAGUGGCGCACGGGUGAGUAACACGUGAAUUAUCUACCUCCGAGUGGGGAAUAACUGAGAGAAAUCUUAGCUAAUACCGCAUAACACUUACGAGUCAAAGCAGCAAUGCGCUUGGAGAGGAGUUCGCGGCCGAUUAGUUAGUUGGCGGGGUAAUGGCCCACCAAGACGAUGAUCGGUAUCCGGCCUGAGAGGGCGCACGGACACACUGGAACUGAAACACGGUCCAGACUCCUACGGGAGGCAGCAGUGGGGAAUUUUGCGCAAUGGGGGAAACCCUGACGCAGCAACGCCGCGUGGAGGAUGAAAUCCCUUGGGAUGUAAACUCCUUUCGAUAGGGAAGAUUAUGACGGUACCUAUAGAAGAAGCCCCGGCUAACUUCGCGCCAGCAGCCGC